rnacentral:rRNA from 1 species
UUACCUACCCUUGACAUGUACGGAAUUCUGCUGAGAGGUGGGAGUGCCCGAAAGGGAGCCGUAACACAGGUGCUGCAUGGCUGUCGUCAGCUCGUGUCGUGAGAUGUUGGGUUAAGUCCCGCAACGAGCGCAACCCUUGUCCCUAGUUGCUACGCAAGAGCACUCCAGGGAGACUGCCGGUGACAAACCGGAGGAAGGUGGGGAUGACGUCAAGUCCUCAUGGCCCUUAUGGGUAGGGCUUCACACGUCAUACAAUGGUCGGAACAGAGGGUUGCCAAGCCGCGAGGUGGAGCCAAUCCCAGAAAACCGAUCGUAGUCCGGAUCGCAGUCUGCAACUCGACUGCGUGAAGCUGGAAUCGCUAGUAAUCGC